rnacentral:rRNA from 1 species
GAUGAACGCUGGCGGCGUGCCUAAUACAUGCAAGUCGAGCGAACGGACGAGAAGCUUGCUCCUCUGAUGUUAGCGGCGGACGGGUGAGUAACACGUGGAUAACCUACCUAUAAGACUGGGAUAACUUCGGGAAACCGGAGCUAAUACCGGAUAACAUUUUGAACCGCAUGGUUCAACAGUGAAAGACGGUCUUGCUGUCACUUAUAGAUGGAUCCGCGCUGCAUUAGCUAGUUGGUAAGGUAACGGCUUACCAAGGCAACGAUGCAUAGCCGACCUGAGAGGGUGAUCGGCCACACUGGAACUGAGACACGGUCCAGACUCCUACGGGAGGCAGCAGUAGGGAAUCUUCCGCAAUGGGCGAAAGCCUGACGGAGCAACGCCGCGUGAGUGAUGAAGGUCUUCGGAUCGUAAAACUCUGUUAUUAGGGAAGAACAUAUGUGUAAGUAACUAUGCACAUCUUGACGGUACCUAAUCAGAAAGCCACGGCUAACUACGUG